rnacentral:tRNA from 1 species
CAGAAAAUAAUUUAAUUUUUAAAAAUAUUAACUUUGGAAGUUAAACUUCUGUCAACCAGUUUUCUGA